rnacentral:rRNA from 1 species
UGGGGAAUCUUGCACAAUGGGGGCAACCCUGAUGCAGCGACGCCGCGUGAGCGAUGAAGCCCUUCGGGGCGUAAAGCUCUUUCGACCGGAACGAUAAUGACGGUACCGGGAGAAGAAGCUGCGGCUAACUACGUGCCAGCAGCCGCGGUAAUACGUAGGCAGCAAGCGUUGUUCGGGGUUACUGGGCGUAAAGAGUGCGUAGGCGGUUUUCUAAGUUCGGUGUGAAAUCUCCCGGCUUAACUGGGAGGGUGCGCCGAAGACUGGGAAGCUGGAGUGUGGGAAAGGCAGGCGGAAUUCCUGGUGUAGCGGUGAAAUGCGUAGAUAUCAGGAGGAACACCGGCGGUGUAGACGGCUUGCUAGACCAUAACUGACGCUGAGGCACGAAAGCGUGGGUAGCAAACA